AGCAGCCGCGGUAAUUCCAGCUCCAAUAGCGUAUAUUAAAGUUGUUGCAGUUAAAAAGCUCGUAGUUGAAUUUCGGGAUCAAUUAAUCGGUCGUGCCUCUGGUACGCACUGGUUUUAUUGGUUUCUCCCUUCUGACGAACCAGGAUGUCAUUAAUUUGGUGUCUUGGAGAAUCAGGACUGUUACUUUGAAAAAUUAGAGUGUUUAAAGCAGGCUAACGCUUGAAUACAUUAGCAUGGAAUAAUGAAAUAGGACGUUUGAUCCUAUUUUGUUGGUUUCUAGGAUCGACGUAAUGAUUAAUAGGGAUAGUUGGGGCAUUAGUAUUCAAUUGUCAGAGGU
rnacentral:rRNA from 1 species